rnacentral:lncRNA from 1 species
CACCAACAGAAGUUAAAGUCUUGUCCGAUCUCGCCCAUUUAGUUUGCAAAAAUGUCUAUUAGGACCACUAGCCAGAGUCAUAGCUGAACUUGUUGUCCGAUUUAAGGAGGCUAGCCUAAUGACAGCUUUAGCUACUGAAAUUAAACUAUACCAGAGAUACGUUGAUGACCUGUGUGUGAUCUGGAAGGGCCGGCAAAGGAAAUACAGAUCUGAUUAAUGCUUUCACUGAUAGAACUGUAGGCAUAACUUUGAGGUUAGAACAAUCUGAUGGGCAGGCUUUCCAUUUUUUAGACUUAGAGGUAAUGACAGAAGCGGGAGAGUAUAUUACAACAGUGAAUAGAAAGCCAUCCUACACUCCAGUAACUAUUCCGGCAUGGUCCAGAGACCCGAUGUGUUAUAAGCUUGCUGCCUUUAGUGCAAUGGCUAGUAGAAUGUAUACCGAUAUAACAAAAUCUGCAGAUAAAAAAAAUGAGUUAGCAUAUAUAUUAGAUAUAGCGUAUAAAUAUGGAUAUAAGAA